UUAGUAUAGAAUACCAGAACAUGCGCGUUGAAAACAUACGGAAGUGAGUGCACGAUGCACAUUGUGAAACGCCCGCACAUUAUCGAUAAAACAAUAUAAUUGGACGUAGUUAAAUAUUGUCGCGACGCUGUGCCGGCGACGAUUAACAAAAGGAAAAAAAAGCAAGAGGCGUAUGGGCGUGUUCGUAAAAACUAAUUUCUUAUCACCUACAAGAUCGAAAUCUACUCCAUUCUGUUAUUUGAGUGGUGAAAAAUUAAUGGCAUUUGGAAAAGCACCACACGCCACGUCACGC